GCGCCGACCGGGUGAUGCCCCGGAAGCCCGGGCGGGCCGUCGCUGCGUCACGCUGCUCGCCCGCGGGCGCCCGCCCUUGCGCGCACGUCUUGGCGCCGGGUUGCCAGCGGUGUCCGGCUAGCAGGGACCGCCGCGGGGGGUGCAACCGUCGUCCUGAGCCGUCCGCCGCGUCCCGGGUGAGCGGGCAUGCAUGGCUUCGUCCUUGGGGAGAGCGUCGCGCUCCGGCAGG
rnacentral:rRNA from 1 species